UGGGGAAUAUUGGGCAAUGGGCGAAAGCCUGACCCAGCAACGCCGCGUGAGUGAUGAAGGCCUUCGGGUUGUAAAACUCUUUGGACAGGGACGAAGAAAGUGACGGUACCUGUAGAACAAGCAACGGCUAAAUACGUGCCAGCAGCCGCGGUAAUACGUAUGUCGCGAGCGUUAUCCGGAAUUAUUGGGCUUAAAGGGCAUCUAGGCGGUUAAACAAGUUGAAGGUGAAAACCUGUGGCUCAACCAUAGGCUUGCCUACAAAACUGUAUAACUAGAGUACUGGAAAGGUGGGUGGAACUACACGAGUAGAGGUGAAAUUCGUAGAUAUGUGUAGGAAUGCCGAUGAUGAAGAUAACUCACUGGACAGCAACUGACGCUGAAGUGCGAAAGCUAGGGGAGCAAACAGG
rnacentral:rRNA from 1 species